rnacentral:rRNA from 1 species
CACGUAUUUAGCCGUUCCUUUCUGGUAAGAUACCGUCACACAUUGAACAGUUACUCUCAAUGUCAUUCUUCUCUUACAACAGUGUUUUACGAGCCGAAACCCUUCAUCACACACGCGGCGUUGCUCUAUCAGGCUUUCGCCCAUUGUGGAAGAUUCCCUACUGCUGCCUCCCGUAGGAGUAUGGGCCGUGUCUCAGUCCCAUUGUGGCCGAUCAGUCUCUCAACUCGGCUAUGCAUCAUCGUCUUGGUGAGCCAUUACCUCACCAACUAACUAAUGCACCGCGGGACCAUCUCUUAGUGAUAGCAGAACCAUCUUUUAAGUAGCAACCAUGCGGUUGCUAUUGUUAUACGGUAUUAGCAUCUGUUUCCAAAUGUUAUCCCCUGCUAAGAGGUAGGUUUCCCACGUGUUACUCACCCGUUCGCCACUCUUUGCAAUGUCCAUCGUCAUAUCUGAGCAAGCUCUUCAAAUCAGUUGAACCA